rnacentral:rRNA from 1 species
UACAGAGGGUGCGAGCGUUAAUCGGAAUUACUGGGCGUAAAGCGCGCGUAGGCGGCUUUGCAAGUCGGGUGUGAAAUCCCCAGGCUCAACCUGGGAACUGCAUUCGAGACUGCAUUGCUAGAGUAUGGGAGAGGGAAGUGGAAUUUCCGGUGUAGCGGUGAAAUGCGUAGAUAUCUGGAGGAACACCGGUGGCGAAGGCGGCAUCCUGGACCGGCAUUGACGCUGAGGCGCGAAAGCCAGGGGAGCAAACGGG